CCCCCAUUUACGCACGCACGACUGCCAUCCUUACUUUACGAGCACCUUCUGUUCUCC
rnacentral:rRNA from 1 species